AUCAGCCUUGAACUGCCAUCUUUGCUUUGUGGCCAUCAUUAGCGGUUAUCACGUGCAAACAUUGAGCACAACGGCAGCACGAGCCGCCCCGGCAGCGCUGGGAGAACGGCCUGGCCUCGGGAGCCGCAGCCCGUGACGCCUCGAGGCUGCUGGGGGUGUCCCGGCGGCACCGCCCCUCGCGUUGGGCAGCCGCCGUGUAACGCCGUGUAACGCCGUGCAACGCUGUGCCGUGCAUUACCGUGCAGCACCGGGCCGGUGGAUGAUGCUCCACGCCGCCCGCCCGCUGCCGGAGGGCUCUCGCCGCUGAGGGGCAGCGCAUCCUGCGGCGUUGUCCGGCGGCACCAUGCGGAGCUCCCCGCUCCUCCUCCCGGCGCAGCUCCUGCUUUAGAGCCCGGGGAUGCUGCGGCGGGCGGAGGGCGGCGGGGCUCACCCCGCGGGGCCCCGCUCCGCUCCCGGCUCCCCGCGCCGGGCACCGGCCGCCGCGCUGCUGCCUCCGCUGCUGCUGGUCGCCAUCGUCGUGUUCGUCCCCGGAGCUCGAGCGGAGCGAGGUAUCAGGCAACAGCUCUUCAACAUUGCUCCUUCUACAGAAUCUUUUCCUAACUGGAGAACUACCCUAUCACCAACACGGCCUUCCACAGAAACUAAGACUUCCUCAGUAGCUGAUAUUUCUAUGGGACAGACUUUGGAGAAUGCAAACUUGCUUCAGAUGAUAAAAACAACACUGACUGGCACACGUACAAGAACUUUGGAUCAAACAAACCUGUCUCCCACCCUUUAUCAAGGCAGUGGAAAUAGUGCAUCCCAAGAACCUGCUGAAGUUUCUGCUGAGUCACCCCUGAGGUUGUCAUCUCAAGAUGCAGAUGAAACAGCUGGGGAAUCAGGUUUGCCUCAACUCGGUAUGUUUGCCACAUUACCCACUAUACCAUCAGUGACACAUUUGAGUACAGCUGUGCCAUUUCAGCUAACACCAUUAGAAACACCUUCCAUUUCAAAAGAAAGCACAUCAGGACCUGACAUGCUUGCUGCUGUUCCAUCUCCAUCAUUUUCUUCAUUGGCAAUACAAUCACCUCAUACCAUUAACUUUUCUAAAUCAGCUGUACUGGCCUUCAAAGUACCUCUGUCUGCAGAGCCUGAAAGUUCCUUCAACACAGAUUCGACCAGCUCUCAGGUUAGUGAAAGCAGAAAUAGUCCCUUAAGUGUGGUCAAUGAUAUAAAUUCCAGUAUGGUGAAUCAAAGAGAGGGUCCUGAGUUGUUGAUGGACACCAUGUCUUUCAAUCUCUCUGGAUCAACAGUGCAUUUCACAAAUAGAGUGGGAAAAGAGUUUCCUUCAGGAAGGACCUCCUUUUUAUAUGAAUACUCUUAUACUCCUGUGCCAAAGAUAUUGCAUCAGUUUUCCAUGCCUGUAACUUCCAGGAGCGUGUUACGGUUACUGAAUGAAGGUAUGCAUAAUGUAUCUUCUACUGGAGUGAAACCCAACAGUCAGCCAUUUAAGCCACUCUUGAUUGGCAGAAAUAAUGAUGGUACUCCUCCGUCAUCACCAGUUUUUCAGAGUAAAGCAGAGGUUCCAGCAUUAUUCUUCCAUCCUGUGGGUACUCCACAUAAAAUCCCUCAGAUGAGUCAUCAUCAGUCUUCCACGGCACUUACUAAUUGCACUACAGUCUCUACCACUGCACCUUUUGUGUCAUCAGCUUCUGAGAGCCUGGCUGAGGUCUCCAGCUCAACAGAGAGCAUGUCUUCCUUUUUGUUGCCAAAAUCAUUUAUUCCAGAUGCAAAGCACGCUCACAAUGCGGCGCUGCCAGUACCAGCAUUUAGAAGGGAAACAGAUUUUCUCUUUAGAAAUGCAACACGCUCCUCUUCAACAAGCACAAUGUCUCCUUUGCUAACUGAGACAAAUGAGACCUCUGCUAGGGUAGCACUCACAAACAGUCCAAGCGCAGUGACAGGCAACAAGGGUAUUUUGCAAAUCCCUUUGACUGUUUUCUCACAGCACUCCAUGGUGUUUCUGAACCAGGCUUUGGCAGAAGACCUUGCUAGUGGAGCUCAUGAAACAAAUGGCAUGCUGUUGCCUACUGCUUCUGCACAUAUUGUCCCAUAUUCUGAUGGCUCUCCUGUGACAAGAACAACUCAAGAUGCGAUGACAAGAUGGGUGACAGCAAAAAUAUCCACAGACUUUAAUCCUAAUUUUAUUCUGCCUUUUGGCUCUCAGGUUUCCAGAGUUUCUCCAGAUAUCCAUGUCAGUAAACCCUUCAAAGAGUUAAAGCUAUCAGGAACUGCUUUGGGAACAGGAAUGGCUGCUCCUGGUCUUGCUGUGUUUACAGGACUUUCAGAUCCUGAGCUUGCUGUCACAAAUACAUUUGCUACUACUAGUAUCUCUGGGACUGCACGUUUUCCACCUUUUGAUGCAGAAAGAACUACAGAUGAACAGAGAAGUAAUAAACCCACUGUUGUAACCCCACAUGCAGACCAUUCACCUCCAAGAACCUUAACUCAGUCUCAUUUUACCUCUAGUCAGACUUCAUAUUCAGGUGAUACAGAGCAGCUUGUCUCUGUUGUGCCUCUAGCAUGGACUACUCUGCCAUCCUUUGUUUCCAUGACAACAGUGAGAGACAACCACGGCUCAGGUUUCUCUGGGAUUUCAAGUGCAGCCUCUGAAAGCAAUUUAGCUCCAAUCAACGCUCCCAAACUCUCUGUUCCACCUUCUGCACAGACCAAUGCAGUGCCGUUGUCCUUAGCUGACACUAGCAUUUCUCUGGUUAAAAAUUCUGUAGAAACAGCAGUAAGAGAAGUUCCUCUGAGUACUUCUACAUCAGCAACUGAGUAUCAUUCAAUAUAUUCAGUAGUUUCAGAUCUGCAAAAGAAAAUGAGAACAAACGAUCAGCCGCUUUUCUUUUCCCCUUCUGUGGAGUACACACAUGCAAUACCAAGUCAAAAUGUUUCCCGUUUACCUUUCGCUGGAGUGAAUUUAGGCAGCUUUCCAGCAUUUGUUAUAGAUGGGUUUGCAUUGAAAACAUCUCCUGUCCUGUAUCCGUCCCUUGCUACUGUGGUUCCUGCCAGCCUGCAGGAAAAGAAUGGAAACACAGCUGAAAAUGGUACUAAUUUCUUCACCACUGGGAACAUUAAUAUCAGUGCACAGCGUGAAGCACCACUCCAUUUACAUGUCCCUCAUGUUAAUGAUGCAGGUGUUGGAAAGACGACUUUACUGGCAAAGACCUUUAACACAACACCAACGUUUGCUUUUCAGCUCCCUGACAACUUGUCUCUUUCAGCCAGCUAUGAAACUGGUGCUGCACACAAUGGACUGCCAAGCAAGCCUUCUGUUUCUAUUACUAAGCCUUUUAGCUCAGCUCUCUUACAUAGUUCUGUUAAAGAAGAAGAUAUUGGUUCUGGAAAUUUGGAGUUUAUUGAUAGCCAAUUAGAGUCCUCUGGUUAUUUGGUCACGGCUGAUAAAAAUCCAGCUACGUUAAGUGUGGAGGAGUGGGACACAAGUGGUACAAGGCAGAGUCUAGAUCCCACUAGUAUAUCUAAUAAAACCACUGAGGGCAUGCCUUUGCAGACCCCUUCCAUCAGUGCUCUGCAGUCAGUCAUCAUAACUUCUAUCCAUCCAUUACCAACACAGCUAACUUCUGCUUUUUUUUCAACAACCAACUUUACCCAUUCUGUCAUUACAGUGUUAUCUGGAGUGUCUUCUGGUGCAAUACCUACGGUAGGAACUUCAGAAGCAAAACCACUAACAAGAAAAUCAUCUCCAGCUUCACCAGUGCCAGCUUCUUCCUUCAUGUCGCUAGGCACUGAAAACACACCUUUGCCAUCUGUGAUGGCUUUAAACACUCCGGUACUGACUCUAACAAAAAAUAACACUGCCACAAAAUUGACCUCAGUUCUAAGUUCAGUAGGUGCACAUACAGAUCUUCCUUUUGCAACAAGAAACACGGCUGCGUCACCUGUGGAUGUGACAGCUAUGUUUAUAACUUCUAAAAGUAGCACUGUCAUGGCUUCCACAUUUGCACCCACAGCACAUGUACCAAGGCAGAUAAAAACAACAGUCACAGACAGCCAGAAAUUCCCAAGCUCAGAAAUCACCAAAACAUCAACCCCAUAUCCACUGACAAUUACAGCGGCUUUGACAUCUAUUACAGCAUCAGCGAAAGCAACUAGGCUUCCCCCUACUCGAGUGGAAAACACUUCUGCUCCUUCAGAAACAACAGCAGCAGCUUUUGCUAAUAUGACUGCAGCUCCUCCUCUGGAUUGUCGGCUCUCCUGGAACCUUAUGGUUAAAACGGUUCUGUUUCUGAACACAAGGAGGAUGAUGAUCAGCAAAGCCUUCAAGGAGAGUGUGACAAAAGGACUUAACCAGGCACUGAGACAAGCUUUCAAUCAAAAUGUCAGCACUCAGGUGGAAAUCUUGGAGCAGUCAAGUAACAUCACAGUUGGUUACUAUGUUACACGAGGGAGACUGGUUUUUAUUCCAGCUGCUGUAAUUGAAAGACUAAUUGCCUAUGGGAUUAGCAAUGCCACAGCAGACUUAAAGCAACACAUACUAAGUCUUCAAUCCAUCGUGGCCCUGGCAAUGCCAUGGAAGCCUCUUCCUGCAUACCACCUCCAGCUGAAGACAGAGCUGCAGUUUGUGAGUCAAACAGAUAAUAUACAGUCAUGCAAGUUUGUUCAGACGAUGGAGCAAAGGUUACAGAGAGCUUUUCAAGAUGCCGAAAGAAAGGUCUGGAACACCAGCAACAAUCUAACAGUGCAGAUUCUGAAUACCUCCAAAGUCUCUCAAGCUGUCACUCUGUUUUAUGUAGUCAACAACCAAAGCACAACUUUAAAUGGCACUAUUUCCAGCAAUCUUCUUAAUCAACUGUCAGCAGAGCUGGUGGGUUUCUAUCUAACCUACCCACCUCUCACCAUUGCAGAGUCUUUGGAAUAUCCAAACCUUGAUGUCUCAGAGUCAACUAGAGACUACUGGGUGAUCACAGUUAUACAAGGGGUUGAUAUUGCAUUACUGGGACUGAACAAUCAGAGCUUUGCAAGACUAAUGGAGCAGCGCUUGGCCCCGCUGUUCAUGAUGUCCCAUCAACAAGGAAGACGCUUUAAACGUGCCACCACUGUGGGCAGCUACACUGUACAGAUGGUAAAAAUACAACGAAUUCCAGGACCCAAGGAGCCAGCUGAACUGACAUACUAUACCUUAUACAAUGGGAAACCUUUGCUGGGCACGGCAGCUGCCAAAAUUUUGAGUACUGUUGACUCCCAGCGAAUGGCCCUGACACUGGGUUAUGUGAUUCAAGUUCAAGCUGAUCCUGUGGUGAAGAACCCACCAAACAACCUGUGGAUCAUUGCAGCGGUACUGGCUCCCAUUGCUGUGGUUACAGUUAUCAUCAUUAUCAUUACAGCAGUUCUGUGCAGAAAAAACAAGAAUGACUUCAAACCAGAUACCAUGAUGAACCUGCCUCAAAGAGCUAAACCAGUACAAGGCUUUGACUAUGCCAAGCAACAUUUAGGUCAGCAGGGAGCUGAAGAUGAAGUUUUACCAGUAACUCAGGAGACUGUCGUACUUCCACUUCCAGUCAGAGAUGCCCCUGCCUCCCAGGAGAGAGAAAUUACUCAGGAUGGAAGCACCAUUAAAACAGCCCAAUCCAAUGAAACAAGGAAAAGCCGGUCCCCGAGCCAGAACGGCUCCAUCAUCAGCAAUGAGUCGGGAAAGCCCAGCUCCAGCCGGAGCUCCCCGCAGAAAGUCGUGGCACCGCAGAAAGUGACAAAGGACGAAGGCAGGAAAAGAAACGUACCCAUCAGCGAUGAAGAGGAAGGAGGCACCCUCUUUGAUAACAUUGCCAAAUCUGCCAUUGACCCCUUUGACACCUCUUCUGGAUCUGUACAGCUGAUAGCUAUCAAACCUGUGGCACUGCCCGCUGUUCAUGCUGCAUCAGAUAGAAGUCAGGAAUCGGCCAUCAUUAAUGGAGAGGUGAACAAGGCUUUGAAGCAGAAAUCCGACAUAGAACAUUAUCGCAACAAGCUGCGUUUGAAAGCCAAGAGGAAGGGGUACUAUGAUUUCCCACAGGUUGACAGCAACAAGGGUCUGACAGACAGAAAAAGGAUGUAUGAGAAAAACCAGAAAGAAAUUGACCACAUUUUGGAUCCUGAUCCAGAUGUAUCAUCUCCGUUUGCUGAGCCUAAGAACAGGCAACAGAUGAAGAACUCAAUAUACAGAAGCCGGCAGUCUUUGAACAGUCCUAGCCCAGGAGAAACUGAGAUGGAUCUUCUAGUGACUCGAGAAAGACCCAGGCGUGGAAUCCGUAACAGUGGAUAUGAUACUGAGCCUGAAAUUAUAGAAGAAACAAAUGUUGACCGUGUCACUGAGCCUCGGAACUACACCAGGUCCCGUCAGGCCAAAGGCCACUCAGAGACCUCAACUUUAAGCUCUCAGCCCUCCAUUGAUGAGGUUCGACAACAGAUGCAUAUGCUCUUGGAAGAGGCUUUCAGCCUGGCCUCUGCGGGUCACGGAGGACAGAGCAGGCAGGAGGCCUACAGCUCCGCACCACACUUGCCCUAUUCAGAGGUGGUGACCAGCGCUCCUGGUACCAUGACCCGACCUAGAGCGGGUGUGCAGUGGGUACCCACAUACAGACCAGAAAUGUAUCAGUACAGUCUACCAAGACCAGCUUAUAGAUUUUCUCAGCUUCCUGAGAUGGUGAUGGGAUCUCCUCCCCCUCCUGUCCCUCCCAGAACUGGUCCUGUGGCUGUUGCCUCUCUCAGGAGGUCUACUUCAGAUAUUGGCAGCAAAGUGAGAGUACCAGAGUCCAGUGGGGUGGAUCAGGCCCAGCAUCACGAGCCAGCAUCUUAUGCACCUGGCUCAAGAGCUCCAAUGUCUGUAGGCCCACUUGAUCAAUCAGCUUUUCACUCAGGAAAUACAGUACCAGCAGUGUUUGCCAUACCAGCAGCAAACCGACCUGGCUUCACAGGCUAUUUUAUCCCAACACCACCCACAGCAUAUAGGAACCAAGCCUGGGUGCCCUAUGCUGGAGAGAAUGAAUUACCAGGACAGUGGGCAGACUCAGUUCCACUCCCUGGAUACAUCGAGGCUUAUCCAAGGCCCCGCUACCAACACAAUUCUCCUUCACGACUGCCUCGCCAAUACAGCCAGUCAGCAAGCAUGCACCCCAGCUUGGAACAAGCUCCUUUGCCCUCUGCCACAACUUCUCAGCAGAGCCUGACAGAAAACGACCCGUCCGAUGCUCCUCUCACCAACAUUUCUACGGCUGCCCUAGUAAAGGCAAUAAGAGAAGAAGUUGCUAAACUGGCCAAGAAGCAAACAGAUAUGUUUGAGUUCCAGGUUUAAUGUCUUUUGUGUACAGCAUUUGUAUCAUGGAACUUGAAGUAGACAAGAAAGCGACCUCUUUAAUUUUCACUUACAAACCUGCAGUGAAUUGUGCAAAGUGAUGGCAUUUUUCUCCAUCUGAAAAGUCAACGCUAUGAAACAACUUAAAGUAGAGCACUGGGAUCCUGAAGCUAUGUAUUCUACUUGCCAGCUAAGGAAAUGCUGCCAGGUAACUCUUUAAAAUGGAUUAUAUUGAUCAUAUGCAAGUGUUUGUCACUUGGCACUCAUACUAUGAUCCAUCGUCGCUAGAGAUGCUGCUGUACAUGCCAGUGCCAUGUAGUGUUUUGGUUGCAGGCCCUAAUGCAGAGCUGCUGAAGAAUAUCUUCUGGAUGACAAGACCUUAUUUCUUUGACUAAAGAGGAAAACAGAUGGAAAAUGGCAAGAUAAAGGCCAUGGUAGGUGUGGCAGCCAUGUUAAUUUUUUGUUGUGGGACACUGUACAAGGAAUGUUGAUUGAAUUUAUCUGCGUUGCUGCAGCCUUUUCAUUCUAAAGACUGUAACCAAACCAAAAGAAUCUGAGAUGAGUAAUACUAACAAAUGUCCUGUGAAUAGCCCCAAUUCUUUUCAUCCUCUUUACAGUACAAGGAAGUGAAAGAAGAGAAGACUGUGAGGAGACCAAGGAUAUUUUGAUAAUUAAUGGUUACCUUGUCCAUGAAUGCCACUGAUGAGUUAUGGAGGAGACUUUUUUCAGUGUGAGAGAGCACAAUUUGUGAAGAGCUAACAAAGGAAAUUGGUGCUAGAAGUUUCCAGGAGAAAUGAAAAAAGGCUAUUUUUGUUUGCUCUAUAUUCAGGCUUUUCACUCAGAAUGCAUGUGAAGCUGAUAAACAUGAGAUUUUUGAGCAAGUCUUUCUAACCUGGAAUAGUGAAUACAUCUGCUUGUACAAGACAAACCUCUGUUUAACACAAUGCUUUUUUCUCAUUCUUAAACAAUGCUAUCUACUGAAGUGCUGCCUGAAGCCACAGUUGAUCUUGAUCAGACUGGAACAGUGCAUAAAUGUGUAAGAAGUUCUGAAUGUAGAGGACCUGAUUAUUAUAUUAACAUGUAAAUAAGUAUACGGUUAAAUGGAUUAACAAAAACGCUAGCGUGCUUUGAAAAAAGAGGGCAUUUCUGGAAACGAUGCUGACUGUACGUUACUCAAGAUAAAGGUUGCUAAUAGUUAAACUGCAUCAUUGUAUGAAUCCAAUCCCGAAAGAAAUUCAAACCAGUUGAAUAGGACAUUAGUUUGUUUUUUGUAGUUGUACAGAAUAGUUGGAGAUUAUGAACAAUUGCUUUCAGUUCCUUUGGCCACUAGCUUUGGGAACUGAAGUUGUUGCAAAAUACAUUGUGUUGGGCAUGUCUGAUGUCAACUGGAGUUAAAGGUAAUGUCCUUCAUUUCAGUAAGUUAUCUGGUUAUUCUCAACUGCUUACGUUAUUUUGUUUGAUCAUUUCAUUUUCUUGAAUUUCAUUGGUCUUUACCAGGGUGAGAAAGAGAGCUUAGUUUAGCUUUUUGGACAUCAGUAAAAUGAGAGGAGGUGUGAGACUAGAAGGGGAAAGAAGAAGAAACUGAUGAAGCACAAACUUUUAAUACAGAGCUAUUUUUUCCCCUCCAGAUAGUUAUAUAAUAAACCCUGUUUGAGAUUAUGAUAUAUAAUUAUCCUAGUAUACACUCGUAUCUUCUGCUCCGAGACCUUAGGUAUUGCAGAAGCUUUUGGAAUGCUAGCUGAUCUUUAAACUAAUGUGAAAUGUCAUUUUUAUUAUUUAAAAAUCAGAUAUAAAUAAAAUGUAUUUUUGUAAUCUCAGUGUAUAUACUUGCUGUAUGUUUAUACAAGUCUGCAAUAGUCAGAAAAUUUCCAUAAACCAAGUGCAAAAAAAAAAAAAGAAAAUAAUAAGACAGAAAACAAAACAAAAAACAGAUGAAUAAUUUGGAUGAUCAAUAUUAACAUGCAGCAUCUGGAAUACACAAAUACACAUUUGGGUGACUUGCUUACUGAACAACCAAAGAAACUGGAUCUUUUGUGAAAAUAUAAGUCUGCUAAAGACAGACUACAGUCUUAGUUACCUAUCAGCUAACUAAUAUUGAUCUUAUCAGUAUAGUACAAUACAUCCAAAUGUCUUUUUGUGUUAAUAGCUGCCUAAAAAUGAUGCAUUUAAAAUAACUUAAAAAUAAAGGGCCAAACUCAGAAUGCCGUAAGAUGUUAAGUUCUGUAUGGCUUCAGUGGGAACUCAGCUCGCUGAGAGCAAGGCUGAGCUUUUCUAUUAAUUUUAGUUCACAUUUAGAAUCACAUGCUGUGCGUAUUUUUUCAUUUGCUGUAACAUAAGUGCAGGUAUAAUUUAAGAGCAGAUUAUAAUUAUUUAGCCUAAGCUGGUUCAUAACCAGAUUAAGGUAACUUGGUAAGGGAAAUAUGCAUUAAAUUGUGUCUGCCACCUUGGGUAUCAACUUUAUUAACUUACUUUCUGAGUGAUUAUUCUAGUUAUUCCAGUGAAAUUUUUUAUGUAGGUAGGCCCUUCUAUGCAAUGGCAGUGAAAUGCCCUGUCGAAUAAAUUUCUGUGUCUUUGGCUCAAGUUUUGCAGGGUUAUCUUAAAGCUGUAAGUGCGGAAGCAGCAGCAGUCCUGCAGACUGGGAAGGGUCAUGAUGCCACGUAUCCCCAAAACAGUCACAGGAGGGGAGGCAUGAAGGAAAGAGAAUGCAAGGAAGAUCAAAUACAAAGCAGAUAGAGAAAGCAGCAUUGGAGUCAGUAGCAGAACUGAAGUGAGGCCUCUGUCACAUUUAAGGUGUGGUACAUAAAACUAAUUGCAAUUUUGGUCACAAUUCAAGAUGCCUGUAAAGGAUGAAUUACAUUUGAAUGUAUAUUUUCAGGCCCACGUUGUAAAAAAUAACAGCUCGAUGCCAGCUUCUAGGAGUUUGAGGGAAGUGAAAAGCAAUGAUAGCUUUCUGAGCUGGCACAAGAAGUCGCUUCAUUUAGCUGACCUUGCACGUCCUGUCCGUGUUUGAAUAUGGUUUGAGUAUGCUCUGAAUAUGGUUGUACAAGGUUACGGUACAUCUUGAUCUUAUUUUUCUUGUACAUAAGCAUAUUGCAGUGGCUUUCCAUUCCUCACUGACAUGCAAUUGGAUAAAAAGAACAGGCAUGAGAUAGCAUGAAGAACAUGAACAGGUAAAUAACAGUUCCAAUGGCCUGUAAGCCAGACCAAUGUCUUCUUCUGAUGUUUGAUACGUUACACCUACUGGAAAAAUGGUUGUUUGAAGCAGCUUUCCUUGGAAAGGUGUAUUGUGUUCAGUGCUAAUGACCAAUAUGUAUAAAUUAACACUCAGUCCUACCACAAGAGAAUGUAUCAGUCAUGGCUUCCACAACUUUGCACAAGACAUGUGCAUACUCUGUAUAGCUCCACCUGAAACAGUGGCAAAAAACCACAACUGCUUUCCGGCUACUGGGAGUAAACUCCUGUAAUAAAACACCAAGUUGUUGGUUAUUUUGUUUAGAUUUUACUACAGCAUUAGUGUAGACAUUCAGACAAUAUGUUUUAGUUCCUUUUUCCUCAUAAGGGCUCUGUGUAAAACAGGAAAGUUUGGUCUGCUGGUAGGAUGGCUCAUUUGUCGCAGUGGGUGCAGGGAAACAGCAGCCAUCUUCUCAUUAUACUAUUAAUGUGUCUGACGGAUCAGUUAUUUCCUCCCUCUGCUCAACUUCCCUUCUGAAAUAAUACAAACACAGCUUUUUUGAGUAAAUAAGGUGUAAUUUUUAAAAUAAGUAUGUGGGGGUAGAUACAUCUGCCUACUUCUCUGUGAUGUCUCCAUAUGCACUGCUGUUUUACUGAGCAUUUUAUUUAAAACAAUGUGAGCUGGAAAAGAAACGAAUCAGCUCAGAUUUCUUUGCUAUGUUAUUUGCAAGUAUACUGUAGAUUUUGCAACAGGGCUUUAUUGAUUCAGUAAGUCAAAUGAUUACUUAAACUUUCUGUGCUAGACUUUCUUUUCAUGGGUUAAUCUUUUGGCAAUAAUUCUAGGUCUGUGUAAGGCUUUUUUUCUUGCUGAUGAAAAUACUUCACAGUUUUGGGUUUUUUUUUACCCUUUUUAAAGUGUAGGAGGUGUAGGAAUGCAAAAUGAGGAUGAACACUCAUGGAGAAUGCUUUUAUGAACUGUUGACAUUGUCUUGUAAAUAAAUAAUGCAAAAGAUACUUGUGGAAAUGAUAUUUGUAGAGGUUGGUAAAUGAACUUGGUACUGAUUUGCUCUUUAAAAGGAAGUUUCAAAAUAGACAACACAUAAAGGCAGACCUUCAGUGUCUUCGUUGAGAACAAUUAUAUUGAACACUGAUUAUGGUCGAUCAAAAAUGUUUGGCAGUGCACAAUAGACAAAAAGCAGUCAGAAAACUACACAUGUGGGGAUUCCUGUUAUCCAGGCAAAUUUUGAUCAGGGCUGCAUAGGACACAUGGGAGUUGGGACAGGGAUUUUGAUCAGGCUCUGAGGUGGAUAAGAAAUGUGUUUUAAAUUGCUAGGUGGCCAAAUGUCCAGCGGAUAUGUUGAAAAUAAUUGCAAAUACCAUGAAGAGAUAUUUCAGUGAUUUAAUUCUGUCUCAUUAGAUAAAAAAUAAUUCUUUUAAUAAGUGCCUGAAUUUUUUUGAAUUUCCAAGCUUGAUGGUAGUGAUUCUCAAGGUGUAACUUGAAAAUGUAUUAUAAUCUGUAAAUAAUGUUGUAAUGUUGCAAAUACACAUACUAGGCAGAAAUGGGAUCAUAGUAUUGUGAAAAAUAGAGAAAGUUGAUUCCACUCAGUUCAAUAUUUAGGGAUGAGGUAAUUUUUUUCCCUUCAGAGUUUAUCCUUCGGCUGCAGUGCAGUUCUAUGCUCUGUAAACCAUGUAACACACUGGUGAUAAAUUCUAUCUGGCAAGAAGUACUACUGACUCUUUGCAGGCUCCAGUGUCACCUUGUAAAGAAUGUAAAGAAUUAAGCUAUUAAAACAGAAAUUUGUGGGUUCUUCGCUCUCACUCUGGAUUUAGUGCUUUCAAGUCAUGUAUGACCAACACAUUUUGGCAAUGUGUACUUUGAGAUGUGAUGCAGCAGAAUACAGCAGCCUAUACCAGGCAUUUAGUAGCAUGUAAAGUACAAGUGACUACUAAAGAGGGGUAGAUACUAAACCUUCUGUUUCAGUAGUGGAUGGGCACCAAGUAUUUAAGGGGUGAUAAUUAUGGUGGAACAAAGACUCUGAAAUUAACUGCUUGGAAUCAAUUUUAUGUGUUUUGUUAGCUUUUAAUUUCACAAUUUAAGGCAGUAGAAAAAUAAAGACGUUGAGUGUGUAUUCUGUUUCAGAAUUAUAAAUGAGAGAGAUAUGAAUGGAAGGAAAACUGAGGUUUAUUCUGUCUUUCCCUUUGUCUCCUGAUUUCAACAUUGCAUGCAGUUAAAAAAAAA